AAGACUACACUUUCAGGGAUUAUUUCUAUAGUUCCUUAGUAGAGAGGUUUCUCUGAUGUGGAGAGCACCGGAAACAACGAGGAGGAGGCACAGUGUUCUCUCCUGAAGCUGGCCCUGGUGAUUAUUUUGUGCAACUGCCCAUUGCUAUUGAUGCUCAUUCUUCUCUUCCCUGGGAGAGUUGGAGGGAGAGAAUGCAGUCUGAGUGGC
ensembl:snoRNA U3 Small nucleolar RNA U3